GUGACUGUAUAGGGCGAUAGAUGUAGCGGCCGCGAUUCGCCUUGUGCCAGCAGCCGCGUAAACAUAUCCUAGGGCAAGCGUUAAUCAGAAUUACUGGGCGUAAAGACCCUCGGAGGCGGUUUUUUAAGUCAGAUGUGAAAUACCUAAGCUUAACUUAGGAAUUGCAUUUGAAACUAAAUUACUUGAGUUUUGUAGAGGGAGGUAGAAUUCUAGGUGUGGCGGUGGAGUGCGUAGAUAUCUAGAGGAAUACCUGUGGCGAAAGCGACCUCCUGGACAAAAACUGACGCUGAGGUGCGAAAGCGUGGGGAGCAAACAGGAUUAGAUACCCUGGUAGUCCAUGCUGUAAACGAUGUCGACUUGGGAGGUUGUUUCCUUGAGAGGGGGCUUCCGAAGCUAACGCAUUAAUGUCUACUCGCCUGGGGAGUACGGCCGCAAGUCUAUGGAGGUGCGAGUGAAAUGACGGGGGCCCGCACAAGCGGUGGAGCAUGUGUUUAGAUGUCGAUGGCAGCGCGGAAGAACGUUUACCUGGGCUUGACAUCCAUAAGAUUUUUUAGAGAUAGAGAAGUGCCUUUAGCGCAGUUAUGAGGACAGGUCGCUGCAUGGCUGUCAUCAGCUCAUGCUUUAAGAUAUUUGCGUUAAGUUCCCGCAAUGAGCGCAAUUCAUUGUUCUCUGUUGCAAUCAGGUUAUUGCUGGGAACUCAAAGGAGGAAUGCCGGGUAAUAUGCUGGAGGAAAGGUGGGGGACCAACAUCAAGGUCAAUCAAUGGCGCUUAACGAGCAAAGAGUAACCACACGUGCCUAACAAUGGCAUGUUACUAAAGAGUAAGCAAAUUCUUGCUGAAGACAAGGCAAAGCCUUAUAGAAGGUUUGUCUCUAAGGUGCGGGAGUGGAGGGUCUGUCAAAACUCCGCCUCCACCAGGAGGCCGGGAAAUCGCCUAAGG
rnacentral:rRNA from 1 species